UUUGGACAAUAAGUUACCUUGCCACCUGGAACCUGGGGAUAAGUUACAUUUCUUCCCUAAGGACAAGAUAAACACGCUUUGGCUGCCUGGUGUUGGUGGAUGUGAUGUCCUUUGGGGAUUCUUGCACUGCUGGAGCCUGAUGUCCUGCAGCCCAAGGCCACGGAAAUCCUAGUCCUGUAGACAGGUGAGAUCCCAGCUGUCCUUCACAGCAGGCCUUUGCUGGCUAGGCCUUUCCCUUCCUCUGCAAUGACACCAGACAGCAUUCCUGAGCACCUGAGUGGCUCCGGAUAUUUUGAGUCAAUU
rnacentral:lncRNA from 1 species